GCCUCUAUAGCUCAGUGACAGAGCGUCUGUCUUGUAAACAGAAGGUCUGUGAUUCAAUCCUCACGGAGCUA
rnacentral:tRNA from 1 species